AUGAACGGCCAUGGCCGCCCGGGUACACCCGAUCCCAUUUCGAACUCGGAAGUUAAGCGGGCGCACGUUCCUAAGUGUACUGCACAUCGUGUGGGAAAUUAGGAUCGCUGUUCAUC
rnacentral:rRNA from 1 species